CUGACACACCAUCGGAGUAGGCGAUGUACUUCCAGCGGUCAGUUCGGAGCAUGUUUCUUCAGUAGGAACUGGAAACUGCAAUACAUGUGAACAGGGAGAACUCUUCCACAGUCAUGUUAUGGAAGCAGAGGCCUGUCUGAGAUGACUUUGAGCCUGAAUGUCAGGACACCCAGUGAUUGCAGCCACCAGAGGAAAUGGAUAUGAGGAUACUUUACAUGCUGAUUGGACAUCUGUUGAUUUUUCUGAGUGAGAAGAAUACAGAGAAUGUACAUAGACCUGUUUACCAUCUGACUUGACACUAAAAAGUAGACCAUUUUGGAACUACAGAUUGAUUGACCUAUGGGUCUUUUACAGGAACAGCAAGUACUCUUAACUAUUAAGCUAUCUCUCCAGCAUCUAGAAUGCAUUUGAAACAUGUUUAAAAUGAUACUGUGAAACAAACAUGAGUGCUAAGUUCUUUUCAGAGCAC